AGGUAGUUUUCUAAAGACCAAGCACUCCAAAAGGUUUAAGGUCUCCAUGGAGAACAAGCAGCAGAUGAUGCUCUAAAUGCAGAGGACGCUCCCAUCAGUUACUAGUGUUUAGAAGAUACUCGAGAAGAGAGAUGUAAUGAUGUAAAUCAGAACUUGGAUUUGGCUUUGUCAUUGUAUCUAUGAUGUUGUAGCACUAUUUUAUUUUUGUCUCUGGCCACUGAAUUUGCAUUGGUACACUAAUACAGUACUAUGGCUUC